UGUGUGUGUGUGUGUGUGUGUGUGUGUGUGUUUUUCCCCUGCAUUACACGGCAGCUUGACUGUGUCACCCAUGUUUAUUCUCUUUGUUGUUGAAGGUGAGGCCCACUGUUCAGCUUUCACACACAGGAGACACUGACACACACACACACACACACACACACACACA
rnacentral:pre_miRNA from 14 species